rnacentral:rRNA from 1 species
GAUGAACGCUGGCGGCGUGCCUAAUACAUGCAAGUCGAGCGAACGGACGAGAAGCUUGCUUCUCUGAUGUUAGUGGCGGACGGGUGAGUAACACGUGGAUAACCUACCUAUAAGACUGGGAUAACUUCGGGAAACCGGAGCUAAUACCGGAUGAUAUUUUGAACCGCAUGGUUCAAAAGUGAAAGACGGUCUUGCUGUCACUUAUAGAUGGAUCCGCGCUGCAUUAGCUAGUUGGUAAGGUAACGGCUUACCAAGGCAACGAUGCAUAGCCGACCUGAGAGGGUGAUCGGCCACACUGGAACUGAGACACGGUCCAGACUCCUACGGGAGGCAGCAGUAGGGAAUCUUCCGCAAUGGGCGAAAGCCUGACGGAGCAACGCCGCGUGAGUGAUGAAGGUCUUCGGAUCGUAAAACUCUGUUAUUAGGGAAGAACAUAUGUGUAAGUAACUGUGCACAUCUUGACGGUACCUAAUCAGAAAGCCACGGCUAACUACGUG